GAUAAACGCUGGCGGCAUGCCUAAUACAUGCAAGUCGAACGCACAUAGCAAUAUGUGAGUGGCGAACGGGUGAGUAACACGUAAGUAACCAACCCUCAUGAUUGGGAUAACUACUGGAAACGGUAGCUAAAACCGAAUAGGAUAUCGGGUCAUAAGAUCUGAUAUUUAAAGGUCCUGCAAGGGACUGCUUGAGGCUGGGCUUGCGGCGCAUUAGAUAGUUGGUGAGGUAACGGCCCACCAAGUCAACGAUGCGUAGCAGCGCUGAGAGGCGGAACUGCCACACUGGGACUGAGACACGGCCCAGACUCCUACGGGAGGCAG
rnacentral:rRNA from 1 species